rnacentral:rRNA from 1 species
UACGGAGGGGGCGAGCGUUAUUCGGAAUUAUUGGGCGUAAAGGGCGCGUAGGCGGCUGGGUAAGUCAAAGGUGAAAUCCCUCGGCUCAACUGAGGAACUGCCUUUGAAACUGUCCAGCUCGAGGCCGGGAGGGGGUGGCGGAAUUCCAGGUGUAGCGGUGAAAUGCGUAGAUAUCUGGAGGAACACCGGUGGCGAAGGCGGCAUCCUGGACCAACACUGACGCUGAGGAGCGAAAGCCAGGGGAGCAAACGGG